rnacentral:rRNA from 1 species
UACGGAGGGUGCAAGCGUUGUUCGGAAUCAUUGGGCGUAAAGCGCGUGUAGGCGGUCAUCUAAGUCUGGUGUGAAAGCCCGGGGCUCAACCCCGGAAGUGCAUUGGAUACUGGAUAACUAGAGGGCGAGAGAGGGAAGUGGAAUUCCUGGUGUAGGGGUGAAAUCCGUAGAUAUCAGGAGGAACAUCGGAGGCGAAGGCGGCUUCCUGGCUCGUUUCUGACGCUUAGUCGCGAAAGCGUGGGGAGCAAACAGG